GACGAACGCUGGCGGCGUGCUUAACACAUGCAAGUCGAACGGAAAGGCCCUGCUUUUGUGGGGUGCUCGAGUGGCGAACGGGUGCGUAACACGUGAGUAACCUGCCCUUGACUUUGGGAUAACUUCAGGAAACUGGGGCUAAUACCGGAUAGGAGCUCCUGCUGCAUGGUGGGGGUUGGAAAGUUUCGGCGGUUGGGGAUGGACUCGCGGAUUAUCAGCUUGUUGGUUGGGUAGUGGCCUACCAAGCCUAUGACGGGUAGCCUGCGUGAGCGGGUGACCUGCUGCAUGAGUAGUUAGUUGAGGCCGAAACUCCGACGGGAGGGAGCAGUGGGGGAUAUGGCAGGAUAGGUCGAAGUCUGAUGCAGUCCGCCAGCGGGCCGGAUGGCGGCAUUUGGGUUGUAAACCGCUUUCGCCUGUGCCGUAGCAUGAUUGUCGGUAAUGGGUAAAGAAGCACCGGCUAACUACGUG
rnacentral:rRNA from 1 species